GCCCUGAAGCCAUGUGUAUGGGACUCUGCAUGUGCUGGACACCCUGCAUGAGCAGGAACAGCAUCCAGCUCACUACGUACUCCUCUGGCUCCAGCAUCUGUCCACUUAUCACAGAUAUGCAGGUGAAAACAGACAAGGGAGGAUAUGUUCAAAGAGCAGAUGGAGGAGAUGCGGGCAGAGCACCAGGACAGGAUCGCAGAAUGCCAGGAGAGGAGAGCAUGUAGGAAGCUGCAGAUAUUGCCACCCAGCUCUGAAGGCAGCCCAGGACUAGCAACAAUACAGAAAUAAGGUGAAAUCUAGCUGCGGUUCUGCCAACAGCGGGGAACUUUUCUGACCGAUCCUGUACUCCUGGACACCAUCGUGGCUGGCUUUGCUGGGCUGGGAUUCCCGAACUGUGGAGGAGUGCUCAAUGGAACUCACAUCCCUAUUCACUCACUACCCCAUCAAGCAGCCCAGUACAUCAACAGAAAGGGCUACUUCUCCAUGGUGCUGCAGGCCCUGGUGGAAAAGUUUACAGACAUUAGUGUUGAGUGGUCGGGCCUGGUCACAUGAUGCCCAGAUCUUCAGAAAUUCCUACCUGUGCCGCAGGCUUCAGGCUGGAACAUUCUUUCUGCAGCGAAACUUUGCUGUUGGGGACUUGGUGAUGCCAAUCUGCAUUGAGGACGAUGUGGCGUAUCCCCUUAUGCCCUGGCUCAGGAAGCCCUACGCUGGCCAUCUGGACACAAGCAGGGAACAAUUUAACACGCACCUGACAUGGAUGCGCUUGCAGGUGGAAUGCGCCUUUGGCCAGCUGAAGGGGAGGUUUAGGUGCCUGCUCACUCACCUCAACAUGGGGUAACGCAAUAUCCCUGAGGGACUGUCUACACUAGCCAUCCUAGUUUGAACUAGGGUGGCUAAUGUAGUCAUUCGAACUUGCAAAUGAAGCCUGGUGUGCGGGUUCGGGGUGCGAUCACCCCCUCUUAGCCCGAGAGGGGGGGUCUGCGGACCCUCUUGUCCCCUCUUGGUUCCACAUCCACUCUCGGGUCCCCGCUAUGGGGUCCCCGAUAACGGGUGCAAUCACCCCCUCCCGGGAGGAAGGGGGAGAUCAGCGAACCCUGCAAUAGUUACCCGUCUCUGCGGGAUGGGGCGAAAGGCCCCCGGUCUGGAAUUUCCCCUCGCGGGGUUGCGCCUUGUGGCUUCCCUUUGUUGAGGUUUCGGGGAGUGGGAUGCUCCCUUCAGGGAGGGAGGGGGACCAGGUCCCACCCUCUCUCCGGGUCCCAGCCCGGGGCCCUAAGCGGCGGGGCGUGUUAAUGCC